GAUUAAGAACGCAGCGAAAUGCGAUAAGUAGUGUGAAUUGCAGAAUCCGUGAGUCAUCGAAUCUUUGAACGCACAUUGCGCCCCUUGGUUAUUCCGAAGGGCAUGCCUGUUCGAGCGUCAUUAUCACCCCUCAAGCCCUGGCUUGGUGUUGGACUUUAGUUAUAGCUUUGCCUAUCAACUGGUCUCAAAGAUAGUGACGGCGCCCCAGAGGGAACCGGGUACGAGGAGCUUUUUACUAAGCAUGUAUCUGGGACGACUCUGAUGGGCGACGGUCUUGUUAUACUUUUUACCUAAGUGUUGACCUCGGAUCAGGUAGGAAUACCCGCUGAACUUAAGCAUAUCAAUAAGCGGAGGA
rnacentral:misc_RNA from 1 species